GCGGGAAUUCGAUUCAGCAGUCAAGAAUAUUAGUCAAUGCUCGCAAGAGUGAACUAGCUAACUGAAAUCACAUUUGUGUCAAAUGUGAUAACGUAAGGGAAAAUAAUGAUAUUACCUUACUAAAAGUGUUGUCUAAAACUGGUGCCAGAAGACUCGGUAAGGCCAGAGACGCAAACGUUAAUCGUCCUAAUCAGGCGUAAAGGGUAUGUAGGCAGCUUUAUAUUUAUAUUAAAUUAAUAAAUUAAUUAAAGCUAGAAUCAAAUAGAUGAUAUAUUAAAUAAUACUUAGUUAAGGGGCGACAUCCAUAGAAACUAAGGGGAAUACUAAUGGCGAAAGCUUUUUUCAAUUAAUGAUUGACGCUGAGAAACGAAGGUGAGGAUAGGAAAUAGGAUUAGAUACCCAGAUACCCCUCACUGUCAACGAUGAAUGGUGGUUAUUAAUUUUAGAAGAAAUUAGUGGCGAUGUUAACACAGAUAACCAUUCCGCCUUGCGAGUACGACUGCAAAGUUAAAACCAAAAAAAUUAGUCGGUCUCGAA
rnacentral:rRNA from 1 species